UACUUGAUCAUGAUUGAUGAUCCUGAAAGAACCUAGUGGGGAAACCCCCACUCAACUCCCGAUUCUGCGUGCACCCAAGAAUCACGAACAGAACA
rnacentral:pre_miRNA from 7 species